rnacentral:rRNA from 1 species
GGUGGGAUAACCCCGGGAAAGUGGGGAUAAUACCGGAUAACGCAUAUCUGCUGGAAUCCUUUAUGCGUAAAAUGGAUUUCUCUGCCCAACAUGGGUCUGCGGCCUAUGAGGUAGUAGUGGGUGUAAUGUACCUAGUAGCCUAGGACGGGUACGGGUUGUGAGAGCAAGAGCCCGGACAUGGAUUGUGAGAGAUGAAUCCAGGCCCUACGGGGCGCAGCAGGCGCGAAAAGUUUACAAUGCGGGAAACCGUGAUAAGGGGAGACCGACUGCCAGCAUCAUAUGUUGGCUGUCCAGAUGUGUAAAAUACAUCUGUUAGCAAGGGCCGGGCAAGACCAGUGCCAGCCGCCGCGGUAACACCGGCGGCCCGAGUCCUGAUGGUGAUUAUUGGGUCUAAAGGGUCCGUAGCCGGUUUGGUGAGUCCUCCGGGAAAUCUGACGGCUCAACCGUUAGGCUUUCGGUGGAUACUGCCACACUUGGAACCGGGAGACCUAAGAGGUACUACAGGGGUAGGAGUCAAAUCUUGUAAUCCCUGUGAGAGCACCUGUGGCGAAGGCGUCUUACCAGAACGGGUUCGACGGUGAGCGACCAAAGCUGGGGGCACGAACCGGAUUAGAUACCCGCGUACUCCCAGCGGUAAACGAUGCUCGCUACGUGUCAGGCAUGGCGCGACCGUGUCUGUGCCGCAGGGAAGCCGUGAAGCGAGCCACCUGGGAACUACGGCCGCAAGGCUGAAACUUAAAGGAAUUGGCGGGGGAGCACAAGAACGGGUGGAGCCUGCGGUUUAAUUAACGCCGGACAACUCACCGGGGACGACAGCAAUAUGUAGGCCAGGGUAAAGACCUUGCCUAAUCGCUGAGAGGAGGUGGAUGGCCGUCGCCAGUUCGUACUGUGAAGGAUGGUGUUAAGUCAGGCAACGAGCGAGACGCGUGCCCAGUGUUACCAGCAUGUGG